GGGUCAAUGAUGAGAACUCUUCCUGCCCUGAAGGAGAUGAUAGCUUAAAACUCAUGCUCAAUUCGAUUACGCUGAGGCCC